rnacentral:rRNA from 2 species
GAACUUAAGCAUAUCAAUAAGCGGAGGAAAAGAAACUAACAAGGAUUCCCCUAGUAACUGCGAGUGAAGCGGGAAAAGCUCAAAUUUAAAAUCUGGCGGUCUCGGCCGUCCGAGUUGUAGUCUGGAGAAGCGUUUUCCGCGUUGGACCGUGUACAAGUUUCCUGGAACGGAGCGUCAUAGAGGGUGAGAAUCCCGUCUUUGACACGGACCCCAAGGCUUUGUGAUGCGCUCUCAAAGAGUCGAGUUGUUUGGGAAUGCAGCUCAAAAUGGGUGGUGAAUUCCAUCUAAAGCUAAAUAUUGGCGAGAGACCGAUAGCGAACAAGUACCGUGAGGGAAAGAUGAAAAGCACUUUGGAAAGAGAGUUAAACAGUACGUGAAAUUGUUGAAAGGGAAACGCUUGAAGUCAGUCGCGUCGGCCGGGACUCAGCCUUGCUUCCGCUUGGUGUACUUUCCGGUCGACGGGCCAGCAUCAAUUUUGACCGCGAGAUAAAGGUGGAGGAAAUGUGGCUCCCUCGGGAGUGUUAUAGUCCUCCGCCACAUGUCGUGGUUGGGAUUGAGGAACUCAGCACGCCUUUAUGGUCGGGGUUCGCCCACGUUCGUGCUUAGGAUGCUGGCGUAAUGGCUUUAAACGACCCGUCUUGAAACACGGACCAAGGAGUCUAACAUGCCUGCGAGUGUUCGGGUGGAAAACCCGUGCGCGUAAUGAAAGUGAAAGUUGGGAUCCCUGUCGUGGGGUGCACCGACGCCCGGACCAGAACUUCUGUGACGGAUCUGCGGUAGAGCAUGUAUGUUGGGACCCGAAAGAUGGUGAACUAUGCCUGAAUAGGGUGAAGCCAGAGGAAACUCUGGUGGAGGCUCGUAGCGAUUCUGACGUGCAAAUCGAUCGUCAAAUUUGGGUAUAGGGGCGAAAGACUAAUCGAACCAUCUAGUA